CUGAAGAAAUGGCAUAGUUGAGCUGGCUCCUCGGAGCAUCGUGCUCGCUCUGUCGCUUUUUCUAACUUUCCACUGUGCACCUUAUGUAGGCUUGUGUAUGGACCAGUAGAAAAGGUUCGUCCCUUUCGAACGCUCUUCACAGGCCUAUGCCCUAUACAUACUCUAUAAAGUCUAUGAAUGUCUUUAUUGUUGGUCUUGACCGACCGAUAGAAAGUAAUA
rnacentral:misc_RNA from 1 species